UACGUAGGCAGCGAGCGUUGUUCGGAAUUACUGGGCGUAAAGAGUGUGUAGGCGGUGCUCUAAGUUCGGUGUGAAAUCUCCCGGCUUAACUGGGAGGUGCGCCGGAAACUGGAGUGCUCGAGCGUGGAGAGGGAAAGCGGAAUUCCUGGUGUAGCGGUGAAAUGCGUAGAUAUCAGGAGGAACACCUGCGGUGUAGACGGCUUUCUGGACCAUUGCUGACGCUGAGACACGAAAGCGUGGGUAGCAAACAGG
rnacentral:rRNA from 1 species